AAUAAGGUUGCAGCCGACUCCAUGGGAUCGCCGGAUGUGGACGAACGAACGUCAUAUCACAUGGACGCCCAUUUCUUGCCACUACUUGCUCGGUUGUUCUUUUAUCUCGGAACGCGGUAGGGGUUGCGGAUUGGGAGCAAAGGAGGAGAGGGAGUACUGGGCCGCCGCCGGCUGCGAACGCGGAGGAGGCAGCUUCCACCAAUCAGUGCACCCUCAUCCUCAAAGGCUGAUGCUGACACGGUGGAUCCGGCGUGGCUAUCGAUCAGGUGAGAAGCUUACCAUCGAUCAAGAAUUCGAGCAGUAUUUUUCGAACCUGAUGCUGUAGGAUCGAAUGGAUAGUUUUGUGACCAAAAAAAUGGCGCUAGCUGGGACCUCCAAACAUGGUUUGCUUGCUGAGCGAGGUGCCGAACCGUGGCUAUUAGUAUUAUUGGAGCCAUCGGUUUAUAUGUACACCGAAUCCUAUCACUGAAUGUAUGUAUCUGUGGUAUGUGUAUCUUUUUCAGCU